GUGCUCGCUUCGGCGGCACAUACACUAAAAUUGGAGCGAUACAGAGAUUGGCAUGGCCCUGUGCAAGGAUGACAUGCAGAUUCGUGAAGUGUUCCAUAAAAGA